rnacentral:ribozyme from 1 species
UGCCCAGCAACUCCUAUCCCUACCUCCACGUGGCACCGGCCGGACUGCGAGAAACCUUAGGGAAGAUCGCGUAACCAACCUCGGAGGGAACUUUGGUCGCGGGCUGACAGGGAAGG